rnacentral:rRNA from 1 species
AUUGAACGCUGGCGGCAGGCCUAACCCAUGCAAGUCGAACGAGUGGCGGACGGGUGAGUAAUGUCUGGGAAACUGCCUGAUGGAGGGGGAUAACUACUGGAAACGGUAGCUAAUACCGCAUACCAUCGGAUGUGCCCAGAUGGGAUUAGCUGGUAGGUGGGGUAACGGCUCACCUAGGCGACGAUCCCUAGCUGGUCUGAGAGGAUGACCAGCCAACCGGGAACUGAGACACGGUCAAGACUCCUAAGGGAGGCAGUAGGGGGGAAUAUGGGACAAUGGGCGCAAGCCUGAUGCAGCCAUGCCGCGUGUAUGAAGAAGGCCUGCGGGUUGUAAAGUACUUUCAGCGGGGAGGCGUUACCCGCAGAAGAAGCACCGGCUAACUCCGUGCCAGCAGCCGCGUUAAUAC